AGUGAACGCUGGCGGUAGGCCUAACACAUGCAAGUCGAACGGCAGCACAGGAGAGCUUGCUCUCUGGGUGGCGAGUGGCGGACGGGUGAGGAAUACAUCGGAAUCUACUUUUUCGUGGGGGAUAACGUAGGGAAACUUACGCUAAUACCGCAUACGACCUACGGGUGAAAGCAGGGGACCUUCGGGCCUUGCGCGAUUGAAUGAGCCGAUGUCGGAUUAGCUAGUUGGCGGGGUAAAGGCCCACCAAGGCGACGAUCCGUAGCUGGUCUGAGAGGAUGAUCAGCCACGCUGGAACUGAGACACGGUCCAGACUCCUACGGGAGGCAGCAGUGGGGAGUAUUGGACAAUGGGCGCAAGCCUGCUCCAGCCAUACCGCGUGGGUGAAGAAGGCCUUCGGGUUGUAAAGCCCUUUUGUUGGGAAAGAAAUCCAGCUGGCUAAUACCCGGUUGGGAUGACGGUACCCGAAGAAUAAGCACCGGCUAACUUCGUGCCAGCAGCCGCGGUAA
rnacentral:rRNA from 1 species